rnacentral:lncRNA from 1 species
CUCAUAACCCGGUCAUUUCACCUCUAAGCCUUUUUGCAUUGUCUCACACAUGAGCUUUUAGGGGGCACCUAAUAUCUAAACCAUAACAAGCCUUUUGCUCACUGUUUAAAUAAGGAGGCUAAGACCCAGAGAAGGCAACUGGCUUGCCCAAGCAAGUGAUCCACAGAGGAUGGGCUACACUCCUAUCUUCAGAGUCUCAGUUCAGUGCAUCUUCCUGCCUAUCCUGUGGUCAGUGCUAAGCUUCUUUUAGCAGCAUUGCAUAUCAUUCUUCAAAAUGGAGGUGUAGCAACUAUGCCUUAUCUUCCCAGAUGAAGACCCAGACCUCAACCAGCUCUGAUAUAGACUAAGUAUGUGACCACCACACUGUUAAGAAGGGGAUGAGGUUUGCAUCUAAUGGAUGCUAUGCUCCAUCUAAUCAUGCUGUACUUCCAUGGCUCCUUACUGCCCUUCAUUUUUGUGGCUUCCUCUCACUUCUAAAAUCCUAAAAUUGGAGCAGAUUCCUUGCCAUCAACCAUCAGAGCAUGUGCAAGGCAGAGAUUGACAUUAUUUUAUGAAUAAACGUAUGAACUCUUUGCCACCUCCAGAAGGAUCUGCUGAUGACCCAAGGCCCAGAUUUCUUAGUCUUUGCUAUGAAGCUUCAGAACAGUCCCAACUGGGUCACCUUGAAUUUGGUUCAAAUUUGGUGGCACUAGCCUGUUUUCUGCAGUGUUAGAGUGACCCAGGACUUUUUCAUGUCCAAUGUUUUACUAAUCACACCUCAGAAAUAAGAACAGCAACUGCAGCAAAUCUAUGCCAUUAUAUCAUGCCUAAACAAUGUCGAAUAAGUAGCCCCCAAAAAAUUAUUGUUCACAAUCCCAGGCCCUCACCCAAAUUUCCAGAACAUGUUGCUUUUAUCCUCAAACUUUCUCUUCUCAGUGAGUGUAAAAAGUGCACGAUUUCCUGUAAUACAUGACGAGGAUGUGUGGUAAAAUUGAUGCUAAUUUCUUAAACUUCCAAAUAAUUUGCCUUCUUUGGUAACAGAGAUGAGGAGGACCUCAUAUUCUCAGGUUUUGUGUGAUGUGAGAUCUGAAAGCAGAUUACAGGAACCCUGAGACCUGUGGUUUCCCCUACUAAAAAGAUAACCACAAACUAGACCCAAACCUCUGGGUCUUCAGUUGGCUGUUAGGACAGAGCUCCAGACAAAAAUUAUGAUUCUAGUAUGAAGAACUACCUUUACACCCUAUGCUUCAAUGUAGGGUUAGACAUUUCUUAUGUUCACACUAACAUUUACAGAGUAAUAGGCAACUUGUGCCAACAAUAACCACCUGAUUAUAAUUCUGAAGUUCAUGGCCCAAAUGUUCCCAUGGACACUCUUAUUUCCUGGUGUAACUCAAAGACUAGCGAAAAUAACUAACUAAUUUGUGAGAUUUAACUGGAUAUUCAGGUUAAACCACACUCAGUACUUACAGAUUCAAUGGCUAACGUGAUAGCACUGAGUGUCCCUGUUGUUUUGACAAGGAAAUUUGACUUUGUAAAUUUCUGAGUAGAUAGGUAUGGGAAACAGAAUGUUAUGGUUUGGAUGUGAAGUGUUCCCCAAAAGCUCACAUGUGAGACAAUUCAAGAAGGUUCAGAGAGGAAAUGAUUGGUUUAACAUAAUCAGUGAAUUAAUCACUUGAUGGGAUUGAUUAAGUGGCGACUAAAGGCAGGUGGGAUAUGGCUGGAGGAGGUGGUCAUUGGGGGCAUGGCUUUGAAGAAAACAUUUGUAUUUGGUGAGUGCAGUCUCUCCUCCUGCUUCCUGAUCAUCAUGUGAGCUGCUUCCCACCAACACACUCUUCCUUGAUGAUAUUCAGCCUCAUGUGGAGCCCUGAGGAAUGGAGCCAGCUGUCUAUGGACUGAGAUCUCUG